rnacentral:rRNA from 1 species
GAUGAACGCUGGCGGCGUGCCUAAUACAUGCAAGUCGAGCGAACAGACGAGGAGCUUGCUCCUUCGACGUUAGCGGCGGACGGGUGAGUAACACGUAGGUAACCUACCUAUAAGACUGGGAUAACUUCGGGAAACCGGAGCUAAUACCGGAUAAUAUUUCGAACCGCAUGGUUCGAUAGUGAAAGAUGGCUUUGAUAUCACUUAUAGAUGGACCUGCGCUGUAUUAGCUAGUUGGUAAGGUAACGGCUUACCAAGGCAACGAUACGUAGCCGACCUGAGAGGGUGAUCGGCCACACUGGAACUGAGACACGGUCCAGACUCCUGCGGGAGGCAGCAGUAGGGAAUCUUCCGCAAUGGGCGAAAGCCUGACGGAGCAACGCCGCGUGAGUGAUGAAGGUCUUCGGAUCGUAAAACUCUGUUAUUAGGGAAGAACAAACGUGUAAGUAACUGUGCACGUCUUGACGGUACCUAAUCAGAAAGCCACGGCUAACUACGUG